CGCGUUGUCAUCCCUUUUCUCCUCUCCUCAUACCGAAUGCCGAUUCCGAUGCCGCCACGCUCGGAGCAGGUUGUUGAGAUUUCCCCAAACCCGUAACAACCUGGGCGGCUUGCUGGGACCGACUGCUCCUCUGCGCGGAUCUAUUUAGCCGAGCCCUCAUCCAUGUUGCGCUGGCGUGAUAGCCGUGAGGGAAUACACGACCGUGUGAGCUGUGCCAUAGCCCUUGUGUGUCCACCAUUGUCGUGACCUUGUUAUCAAGUCGAGAAGCGCUGCCAGUUCGCAAGUGAGAAUGUGGCAACCUCGCUGCGCAGGACAAGCGACCAAGGGCGGGGAGUUUUCACUGGAGGAAGACCAUCGUUGCGGCUUCACUGCUCGCAUGGCCAGGGGCACUUCUUCUCCAAUCCACGGUAAUUAGCUCCUCCCAGAGUUCAUUGUGUCCUUAGGAUCGUUUUGCACCGAGUCAUAUGGACAAUCGUGCGCCGGGGAUCGAGCGCCUAUGUCGCCGGCGUACGCUUCGUCGUAAGCCGAGGCGGCGCCGCCGUUCUUUUCGACCCAGUGAGGAAGAAUGCUGCACGCCGUCGGAUCUGUUGUCGACGGCCGUGAUUAGUGGCAGGUUACCGAUUCGGGGGGUGAAUAGCGACUGUUGGAUCUUCAAGCGAAGAUGGCUGAGAUGAUAGGGGUUAAUAGAAUCGGGUCCGUCGGUUUUAAGCGGAUGGCUGAGAUGAACCGACACCAUUUCAGCUUGACCAACGUCUAAUCUAGGUCGUAGAUUCAAAUUGGACGGCUCAGCCAGCCCCGUACCCCUUCGACCAGUCAGAAUUAUAAAAGAGACCCUGAGUUUUUAUAAAAUAAACCCGUCGUCCAUAUUCGUUAGGAAGUAAUUGCAACCGAGUCCUGAAAUUCAUGAACUGAACCCGAGCUUUUUGGGAUUCCUGCGUGCGAUCCAGGGAUGAAAUAAAUUGAGUAAAUUAAUAUAUAAAAUGAUUUCUAGUAUAAAAAUAAUUUCAGAAACUUGUUUAAUUCAUAUUUAAUUCAUUUUAACUCCUUUUUAUCCAUUCCAGUUGCAUUAGAUUCAUAUUAAUAUUGUUUAUCAUGUAGUAACCUUAUAUUGUUAUGAAAUAUAGGUUAGAAUUAUACAAUUAAUUUGUUUUAUAUCUAACACCUAAAUCUUUGGUAAAUCAUAAUUCUUUAGCUGUAAAUCCGAACUCAGUGGUUCUCGAACCUAGGAUCUUGUUACGAUGCGUAGAACAUUAUUAUGCAGUUUGUUCUUAUGUUUGGUGUGAUGUUAAUUUUGCCUAUAGAAGACCAAGUUGGUACCUGGGAACCUCGAGUCUAAGGCAAGUUAUGCAUUUGAUCAUUUUUUCUACCUAAUAAUGUUUCCAUUAAUCACUGUGACAUGCUCAGGUUAAAUUGAUGGGACCUAAUAGGUUUCCCUAGCAUUGUUUAUCCCCCAUAUUGCAAACAAAUGAACUAUUGGGUAGAUUUGUUAUUGCUAUACUUGGUUUUGGGAAACUAAUGUUUUAUUAUAAUCAUGUUUUAAUUAUGUUGUUGUUUUAAUUAUUGUUCAUGAUAAGAUCAUCAUGUUAAUUGGAAUAUGGAGAACCACCCGGAAAAACAGUGCUACCACAAAGGUGGAAUGGGACGCCCUUGGCCAAGUAAUUAGGAAAACUAGGGAGAGAUUACCUUACCCGAAAGGGGCAAGCGGAGAGGCAUCACUGCUAGAGUAUAGGGAGGUCCUCGGAUUGAACUGUCUAUAAAGUUUUUUGGACGAGGGAUUCCUAUGCUUCCUUCGUCUUGAAUCCAUAGCAGGUUUUCUUGAACUAGUGGAACUUUGGAAAGUGAAAGGGAAAUGAGAUUUAACCUUUUCCUAUAAAUGAUUUUGGUGGUUGAAUGCCCAACACAAAUAAUUGGACUAACUAGUUUGCUCUAGAUUAUAUAUUCUACAGGUGCAUAAAGGUUCAACACAAACCAAUAAAAGAUCAAAGUUAGGGUUCAAAAGAAAGGAGCAAAAGAAAUCAAAGUGUGCUCUGGUCUGGCGCACCGGACUGUGCUCGGUGCACUAGGCCGUACAACUCCAAACUCUUCAGCUUCGGGUUUCUCAGACGCCGCUCCGCUAUAAUUCACUGGACUGUCCGGUGCACCAGCGGAGCAACGGCUCUCUAGCGCAACGGUCGACUGCACAGUGCCCUGAUAACGCUACAGUUUGCGGCAGAAGUCAGAGGCGCACCGGACAAUGAACAGUGCAUGUCCGGUGUGGCACCGGACUGUCCGGUGCGCCCAUCGACAGCAGCCUACCCCAACGAUUGAAUUGGUGGUUGAGGGCUAUAAAUCCCCCGAACCACCUCGACUCCAACCAUCCAAGCAUUCACUACUUCUCAUUCAAUACAAGAGCAAUAGACUCCACUCCAAAGACACAAUUCAAGUGAUCGAUCCGCUCAAAGUCUCCAAUUCAACUCUAGCACAUUUAGACUUGUGAGAUGAUCAUUUGUGUUUCUUUGUUGCUCUUGUUUGCUUGGCUUGGCUUUCUUUUCUUUCUCACUUCUUACUCUCGAGUGCUUUGUAAGCGAGGCAAGAGACACCAAUUGUGUGGUGAUCCUUGUGGGGUCUAAGUGACCCAUGAGAUUAAAGAAGAAGCCUCACUCGGUCUAAGUGACCGUUUGAGAGAGGGAAAAGGUUGAAAGAGACCCGGUCUUUGUGACCACCUCAACGGGGAUUAGGUUCUUUAGAACCGAACCUCGGUAAAACAAAUCACCGUGUCAUCCUCUUUAUUUUCUUGGUUGAUUUGUUUUCCCCUCUCCCGGACUUGGAUUUUAUUCUAACGCUAACCCUGGCUUGUAGUGUGUUUAAGUUUGUGAAUUUCAGUUUCCGCCUAUCCACCCCCCUCUAGGCGACUUUCAGAAAGGCUUCAUAGUGCUACCCUGCCUCGCUUCCUCUGUAGAGAUGUAUUGGGUCCGAUCAACCCCAUGACAAAUGAGUAACACGACUUGUGGGUAAAGAUAUGCAACCUCUGUAGAGUGUAAAACUGGUAUAUCAGUCGUGCUCACGGUCAUGAGCGGCUCGGACACUCACAUGAUUAAAUUAUAGAAUUAAACUUAAUUUGCCAUUUGCACUGCAUUGUGGGUGUUGUUAUUAAUUUUGAUCUCUUAUUUAUUUGGAUUGGUAUCUACUUACACUUAGUAACUGCUAAUAAAUUUUUGACCAACUUUAAAAGCAAUGAUCAGCUUUAACUAUCUCCUUUGGUAAGCCUUACACUACACAUGAGCUCCCAUAUUUGGUGAGUUCAUGCACAUUAUCCCCUACAACUUGUUGAGCGAUAAACGUAUGUGAGCUCACCCUUGCUGUACUCACAUCCCCCCAGGUCAAGAAUUGGUACCGCAGGAGGAGGCGCAUGCCGGAUGCUGUGAUGAGUUCGUGAGUGGUCUAGGCCGUCGUCUCCCAGUCAACUUUGGUUGCUGGAUCAUUGUCUUCGUAUGAUGUAAUUAUUUAACUAUUUUGUAUAGAACUCCGUUAUAUAUUAUAGAUGUGACAUUCUUUUUUGUACCAUGAAUCAUCAUAUGUGUGAGACUUGUUCCUAGCACACUUGGUGAUUAUUUCGCGCCCAGGUUUUGGUCCCUAAAACCCAGGUGUGACAUUAAUUCUAGAUUAUAGGACAACCCACUAGGGUGUAGUAUAUUUGAGGCACUUGAGAGUGUGCCCUAUAUGUUUUCGACAAAAUUUUACAAAAUGAGGCACCGUUGAUAUAGUUUUUCCUGUGUAGAGUCAUAUAUUUCAAUUUGAGGCAAUAGUUUGAGAUAUUGUUGGAGCUGCUCUAACAGUAAAAUCCUAAAUCUAAGAUAAUAGAGGAGCUCACUAAAGUGUAGUAUGUUUGAGGCACUUGAAAUGGUGCACUAUAAUUUUUUGACUAUUUUUUUAUAAAAUAAUGCAUUGUUCGAUUAGUUUUUUCUGCAUAUAGCCC
rnacentral:lncRNA from 1 species